rnacentral:rRNA from 1 species
UACGUAGGGGGCAAGCGUUGUUCGGAUUUAUUGGGCGUAAAGAGCGUGUAGGCGGCCAGGUAGGUCCGUUGUGAAAACUGGAGGCUUAACCUCGAGCUGUCGAUGGAAACCAUCUGGCUAGAGUCCGGAAGAGGAGAGUGGAAUUCCUGGUGUAGCGGUGAAAUGCGCAGAUAUCAGGAAGAACACCCGUGGCGAAGGCGGCUCUCUGGGACGGUACUGACGCUGAGACGCGAAAGCGUGGGGAGCGAACAGG